AUUGAACGCUGGCGGCAGGCUUAACACAUGCAAGUCGAGCGGAGCGAGGGUGCUUGCACCUUAGCUUAGCGGCGGACGGGUGAGUAAUGCUUAGGAAUCUGCCUAUUAGUGGGGGACAACAUUCCGAAAGGAAUGCUAAUACCGCAUACGCCCUACGGGGGAAAGCAGGGGAUCUUCGGACCUUGCGCUAAUAGAUGAGCCUAAGUCGGAUUAGCUAGUUGGUGGGGUAAAGGCCUACCAAGGCGACGAUCUGUAGCGGGUCUGAGAGGAUGAUCCGCCACACUGGGACUGAGACACGGCCCAGACUCCUACGGGAGGCAGCAGUGGGGAAUAUUGGACAAUGGGCGGAAGCCUGAUCCAGCCAUGCCGCGUGUGUGAAGAAGGCCUUUUGGUUGUAAAGCACUUUAAGCGAGGAGGAGGCUACUGGUACUAAUACUACUGGAUAGUGGACGUUACUCGCAGAAUAAGCACCGGCUAACUCUGUGCCAGCAGCCGCGGUAACAC
rnacentral:rRNA from 1 species